CCGCACAAGCGGUGGAGCAUGUGGUUCAAUUCGACGCAACGCGAAGACCCUUACCUGGGCUCGAAAUGCAGGAGACCGGGGUAGAAAUAUCCUUUUCUCGCAAGAGACUGCUGUAUAGGUGCUGCAUGGCUGUCGUCAGCUCGUGUCGUGAGAUGUUGGGUUAAGUCCCGCAACGAGCGCAACCCUCAUCCCUAGUUGCCAUCGGGUCAAGCCGGGCACUCUAGUGAAACCGCCCCGGAUAACGGGGAGGAAGGUGGGGAUGACGUCAAGUCCUCAUGGCCUUUAUGUCCAGGGCUACACACGUGCUACAAUGGUCGGUACAAACCGUCGCAAACCUGCAAAGGGGAGCUAAUCGGAAAAAGCCGGCCUCAGUUCGGAUUGGAGUCUGCAACUCGACUCCAUGAAGCUGGAAUCGCUAGUAAUCGCAGAUCAGAACGCUGCGGUGAAUACGUUCCCGGGCCUUGUACACACCGCCCGUCACAUCACGAAAGUGGGCUGCACUAGAAGCCGGUGUGCCAACCCGCAAGGGAAGCAGCCGUCCAAGGUAUGGCUCAUGAUUGGGGUG
rnacentral:rRNA from 1 species